CCAUUGCAGCUGUCUCUUUGGUAUGUUCAGGCUGGUUGUCCAAUGGAGACAAGGGAGGGUACGAUGGUGAUGGUGAUGGUGUCACUGGUCCUGGAGAUGGUGAUACUGGCACCGGUGAUGGCACCGGUGACACUGGCACCGGUGAUGGCACAGGUGUCACUGGCACUGGUGAUGGUGUCACUGGCACAGGUGCCACUGGCACCGGUGAUGGUGUUACUGGCACCGGUGAUGGUGUCACUGGCACCGGCACGGGUGAUGGUGACACUGGUGUUGGUGCUGGUGAUACUGGCACCGGUGAUGGUGAUGGUGAUACUGGUACUGGUGUUGGUGAUACUGGCACUGGUGUUGGUGGCACUAUAACCGGUGUUGGAGGCCCUUGAACCGGUGUUGGUGGCAUUGGAACCAGAAACGGUGGUGUUGGUGGCAGUGGUACUAGAAAUGGUGGCACUGGCACUGAUUGCUCAAAGGCACAUACUCCAAAUACGCAUAACCUUCCAAAAGGGCACACUCUUCCACACCCCCCACAGUUGAAAAUGUUCCUAUUUGUGUUUACGCAGAGACGGUUGCAGCAUUGACGAUUGAACAGGCACCUAAACCCACAUAUCCCACAGUUAUCGUUGUCUGCAGUCACAUCCACACAACGGUCUCCACAACACAUAAACCUUGUUGGAAACUCUCCUCUGCUACAUACGAAUGGUCUUCCUGCACAUCCAGUGAUUUGGUUAACAUCUUUCUCCAUCAAUGAUGUUGAGUUGGUGUCAUUUUCAUGCACUUCUUUCCCUGUUGAAUCUCCCUCUAUUUUCAUCACCAACAGCACCAACACCAACAUCACAAGAGCUGAACAUUUUGCGUGCAGACUCAUCUUGAGGAAGUGGUUGUUUAUGCCUUGAAGGGUAGGAUUGUGGAACCAAUUUAUACAGGUUUAUCAAGUUAACUUGCUUUUCUAACAAGCCAAAAGAGCGUGUUUUUCAUGCAUGGUUAUGGACGGUGGACCUUAUCUGCACUCGCUUUUAUUGUUAUUAGAAGGGAAGUUUUGUCAGCUAGCUCUGUGCUUUUUGAAUAUGAGUUGGGUGGCUUAACGCUUUUACGUUCAUCCAUCCUCAAAAUAAGUCACUUCACUACCGUUUCUCAUUUAUUUUCGAGGCUAUCUUAAUGAGAGUUUGUAAAGUUUAUUAGACCACUCGCUAUCGAACCGGACCAUUUAUAACAUAUUGUCCCACGCACGAGUUGUCACUCUUGGUGUGAGAAAGGUUGUGUUGGAUAUCUCACAUUCACUAUAGAUUAAAGCAUAGAUUAAAGCAUUUCAUAGUUUAUAAAUGAAUACAGAUCUCACCUCAUAAGCCGGUUUUAUGAAGUUGAGUUAAGAUUAAAAUUGAUUUCAUAAUAGAUAUACUUGCAACAACUUGCUAAUCAUGCUCAAUCUAUAACCAUCAACGGUUACGUUCAAGCAACGCGUCACAUGAAAAUGGAAACGCCUUCUAAAAGCACGGUGACAACCCCACGAAAUUCUGUAUCAGGUUAUGGUUUUUGAGCAUCAAGUCAUCACCUUAAUUAAUGAUCAUAAUUAAUGUUAUCAGUGUAAGAAAAUUAGAUCUAAAGAAAGAAACGCGCUUUUACUUUUUUUACUUUAAGCAGAAUUUGAGGACGUUUAAUAAAAGAUAUAACUGCACAAAAUUGCCCAGUUCCCCAUGGAACCACUCGUCUCAUAACCAACGUUAUGAUCUGAUAUUCAGACAAAGGGACCACAAUGUGGAUGCGUACCACAGCAUCAUAACCAAUUUAAUGUUAGGAAUCACAAUUCUAGUAAGAUUUGAUGAAGUGAGCAAUUCUCACAUUCCUCUUAGGAAAAAAAUGUCACAAUAAGCAAAUGGAGAGUAGUAUAAGAGAUUUUUUCUAAUUUUACAUUCUUUUAGAAUCUUUUUGAUGCACCAAAUAAGUGUAUUUUGCACAUAUUCAAAGAUAUGCUGUGUGAGAGUACUGCUGCUGAACACUACCAAAUGGAUAAGAAAUCAUUUAUUGUCCCAUUAUAGUUCAUUAAUUACUAAGUGCGUUUGGGUGGGCACGUUUCCCUUUCUGAGAUGAGUCUGUGCCUUUGUCCUAAAACUUACAAAACUUGAAAUGAAUUACUAGAAAAUCAAGGCACUAAAUUUGACAUAACCAUCAAACGCGUCUCAGUUUUAGGACAUCUUAGCAGAGCAACAACGUAUAAUGUUUGCAGCAUCAUACAAUCAAUUUGAAGACCAACUCGUCAAAAAAUCUGCUUUUAGUCUAUCUGGUUUCUUGUGACAUUUGUACGACAUGUAUCGGCAGUGAAGUAUUCAAUUCAAUACAUAUUGUUUGGGUCUAUCACAAUUCUAAUACGGUUCUAACACAUUUCCAACACAAUUUUAAAAAGGACAAAGACACUGAAAUACUAAAAAUUCAAUCUUAUUGUAUAAGUUUUUACUAUAAUUAUAGAAAUAAAAAAAAAAAUUCAGUCAUACUUUGAUAGAACAACAACUUUCUAUACUAUGACUAAUAAAACUAGGAUUUACCAAAUUCUUUUUUUUUUCAUUCGUGAUGAUUUCAGACCUAAAAUAGGAACUGAAUGGGCUAACUUUGGACCUUUAACAUAGUUUAAAAGUGGACUUUCAUAGUAUAGGUAACUGUUGUCCUAAACCCUAAACUCUAAAUCCUAAACCUUAUCAUACUUAUUCACAUAAAUUUAUAUUAUCAAUUCAUGUAAUUCACCAUGUAUAGAUACGUAUCGUGUGUCAUAUUUUUUAGAUUACACGUGUUAAAGAGUUCAGGUUCGUAACAUAUCAACUAUUCGCGUUUGUGCUACAUAGAUUAAUAUACAAAAAUAACAUUCAUUAGACACUGAAGCCCGAAAAAGGGCAAGUGAAAAUUUCAUCAUGGAGAAACACAUGCUGCAGUUUGAUUUAGCCUUGAACAAACAAACAGAUACCUGAAUUUAUUAUUUCUUCAAGCAUGAAAGACACAACAGACAGUCAAGUCAAGCACAAUCACCAACACUACUCAGGUGAGCAGUUAUUUCAUCGAUUUCCACAUGAAUACAUAAAACACACGACCUUAAGGCUCAAGCACAACACAAUACUACAACUUAAAAGUGAUAUAAAUCAGCAAAUUAUUCUUAGAAUGCUGCACAAAUCCUGAAUUUUUGUUCAUAGUGGUAGCUAGAGACUUGUUUACUGAAGAACAACACAUUCUUGUGAACCAGCAACCACCACCACAGUAGAGUGUGCACUUGAGCUCACUGCAUCCUCUUCCUUGUCACGCUGAACAUUAUCACCACAGUCAAUGGCUUCAAAAAUAAGGUCGUUGACUUCUUGAAACCUCUCUUCAGAGAGAGACACCUCUGCAAGAAGCCUCCAAGCAUUGCCUUCAGAUGCCUCGUCAUAAUCCUUCUUCCUCUUUAAAACCAUGUGCCCACUAAUUUCCCACACUGCAGGGUUCACUUGGGUGUCAAGAAGCUCAGCAUCCACUUCUCCAAGAGCUUGUUUCUCUGCAUAACACUGUUCAUAUAUUUGGUAAGAUAAGUGAUAUAUUAACAACUUGCAUCAGUUGUAUAGUGAAACAAGUUGUGAAUGUAUAAUUAUUGAUUUGGUAAAGAGAAGUAAUAUAUUGACAACUUGCAUCAAUCUACAACUCCAUUUGCCUAAAAUAGAUUAGGAAAAUUCAUUUAGUUUACCUGUGGUAACAGAAACACUUGCUUUCCACAGUCAGAAAUAAGAACAUUGAAUGGUAUAUUAUUGUUUUGAAGACAUAUGCAAGCGUCUGAAACAACAUUUGAUAAAUCUUCCACAGUAUCUCCACCCUCAAAGACAAGACCUCUAACUGGAUACUUCAACAGUUCAGAUAUCUUCACCCCGCCAUUUAAAUUUGCAAUUUUCUUAGUGGGGGCCUUCUCAAUGGGAAAGGGCAGAGCCAAAUAGUAAGCCUGCAUAUAUCCAUGUCAAAAAGUCAUGAAAUUUCAAUCUGAUUACUGAAAGAGUAGUCUUGAACAACAACACAUCUACAUAAACCUACAAGUGGUAAUUGAGUAUCAGUACCUGGAAGUGAAGAUGGUUAAUAGUUGCAAAAGCACCCAAGCUGUUGUAACCCAAUCGAAAAUAAGGAUUAUCAGCUUCCACUGCCAUGUGAAGUGCAAGCAGGAAGCUCUCACGGUCAAUCCUUUGGGGCAAACACUCAAAUAUGCGUGGAAUCAGCAAAACAUGCCCAUACUCAAUAGGACUCACCUGUUAAGAAAAUAAACAAACAAACUAUUAGAUGAUAAAAAGAUCACAUAAUAUUUUACAUUUUCAGUUAUAAUUUACUGUAUAAAACUAAUACAAACAUCAUCACAUGCAAUGCAAUGACUAAUAAUCAACCCAUAAGGAAAAGGUUUGGUAUCCAUACAUUGAUGGCAACAAAACUGGGAGAAUUAUCAACAUCAACUGGAGCAUUUGGGAAGAACUGGAUUUGUCCAUCGUCACUAGCUUCAAAUUGGAAGAGAACCUCUUCUUGCCCAACUUUGGUAAAGUUGAAUUUGCUUUCAUCAAAGGGCUGCAGAACCUUAUCAACUCGGAAUUCAGUUGGUCUCUUCUUGAGGUGACGACCCUCAUUAAGCUGAGCAACGAAACCAUAUUCACCAGGAAUCACCUACACCAAAAUCAUAUGAACUUUAAAUCUAACUAAACCUCAUAAAACUGGUUUAUAUGGUAAAAGAUUUGACUCAACCUCAUAAAACAAACUUAUAAGAUGAUAUUUGACUCAAUUUCAUAAAACAAACUCAACCUCAUAAAACCGACUUAUAAGAUUAAUUGCUUUAAUUUGUAGUCGAUGUAUGAUUUUCAACGACGACAAAACACAUCACACUCAUAAAUCAUACCAACCAUAUCUAUGGAGAGAAAGACAACAUUUAGAAAAAGGAAAACAAAGCCAACCUUGGUUUCGCAGGCAGUCACAUCAUAGCGGAAAAGUCCUUUCUGCAUGCGAUCUUCCCACUGCCAUGAAACGGUAAACAACACUUUACAACAAAGGGUAACAAAAGAAUAUCACGUUAACCGUUCUCCAUCACCAAAAUUCCAUGGUUACCUCUCCAAGAAGAAGCGAGUCCAGGAAUGCCACGGGAGGCUCCCCGCAUUCUUGCAGAGCCAAAUCCUUUUCAUUAACAACCUUCUUAAAAGCAUACAGAGGAAGCUUUGCAUCUGUAAACAAAACAAAAACACAAAGCACAAAAAAUAAAACAAAAAGAAAACACAUGAGAUUCCUGGAUCCAACUCACUUUACAGGAUAAAGUAAGAUAUACAUAAUUUUUUCAUGAGAAAAUCAAUUGUUUUAAGAUUCCAAGAAUAUUCAUACCAAAUCGUGAAUAUAUUAAAAUAUCAACUGUUCGUUUUCUUUUCAACUACCGCUACUAGAUAUAUGUUUGGUUUUUCACGUGGGUUGCUCCCAAGUCAGUUUCGUAACCCGUUUGCUUACCUUAAAAAGAAAGGUUAAGUUUAUAUAGAGAAUUUAUUCUUAACUAAACCUCAUAAAUUAAUUUAUAUAAGGUGAGGUGUGUAGUUAUUUAUAUACUAUUAAAUAUAUUAAUUGUGGAAACAUAUUAUGGGAUCUCAAAAAAUACUAACUUUUUUACUAAUAAAACUCUUUAGAUACAAGAUUUCAACUCAAGUUUGAGUCAAAUCUAAAUUCGUAAGCUUUUAUUUCACAUAUGCAGCAAGUAAUUUAGCCUCAAUCACUUUAAAAUAGGCAAUUGCAUAUAUACAAGCAAACUAAUAACAGUAAUGAAAAUCAGUUGGAGAGAAAGAAGGACCUGGAAGGCAACAAGCUUUGAGGCAAUUCCGACCACAACCUCCGACGGGACGAGAAGUGUCGGCGGCGCCGUCUUUCUGGUAGUUGGAAACGACAGUAGGAACCCUCUUGAUUUUGAGCAUCAUUUUUGUGAAAUCGAAGAAAAAGAAGAAGAGAAAGAAGAAGAAGAAGAAGAAAGAGCGAAAGUGUGUGCGCUGUUAAAGAUGUUGGUUAAGUGAGGAGAGGAAAAGGAGAAAGAAGAAGAAGCUAGCAGAAGGAGGAGGAACCGCCACCGGCGAGGAAGAGGAGGUCGGAGGGACUACCACCUUCGGACGGGAGCGCACCACGCCCACCGUGCGGCGAAGGGUUUGCGAGAAUUAUGCAACCCGUCCGUCGUACAGUUGGGACAUGAAUGAGAAAGCGAAAGACUCUUAGAAUAGCCGUGAUGUCUGCAACGUGUUCUUACCGGGUUUCAACCCAAUCACCUCUUCUUUCUCUUUCUGGUUUCUCUUUGAACUCUUCAACAUGCAAACUUCCCUCGCUUCGUUUGGAUAAGGUAUGUGUGAGUCUGAGUCUGAGACAGAGGAGCAUGUGGGUGUGUUGUUAUAUAGAUAGAUAAGACUUAGAGGUUAAGAACUCAAAGUGUUGUGUUGUGUGUGUGUGUGCGUGCUGAGAGUGAAUGAAAGAAAACAGAGUGUGAGAGAGAAGAGACAAUGAUUGAAAGAGAGAGGGUGGUUUCGUUCUUUUGUUUCUAUUUUGCUUUUCUUUUCACAUUGUUUCCGUAAGCGUAGGACCACUAUAUCAAGAGAAUGCUCCUUCUUCCACGAAUAUUCCGUUACAGAAUCUUUUCUCCCACUUCUAAUCUUAAUAAUCUCAACAAUUCAAAUAUCCUUUCCUAUUUUUUUAACAAAAUAUUCGAUAAGAUAUAUUAUCAUAACAAUAUAAUAUAUAAUAGGUAGUUACUUUUGUUACCCCACCUUAUCAUAAAUUAAUUCUUUCUCGAAUUCUCCAUCUCUCCCUGUUAAUAAAUAUUUUCGGUUACUACGUCAAUUAGUUUGGACUCUUAUAUAUGGAUUUGGACUUGUCUCGACUAUAGGAUAUAAAUCAUCAUUUCAACUAUUGGAUCUAGUUUAGUUUUUGACUUUCAAGUCCAAAAUUACUUUCGAACGUGUACCUACAAAGACUCUGAUGAUACAGUCAAAAUAAAUUUAUUUAAUUAUUAAAUAAAAAACAUUACUUAUCAUUUUGUUUGAUUAUAAGAUAAAAAAAUAAUACUCGUCAGAUAAAUAGAGUCAAGUUGUUGUUGAAGUUUAACUUAACUUUUACUCUUCGCAUCUUAUCGUUAUUAAAUAUAUUUAUAGUAUUUUCAACCUAUGUAUUGAAUUUUAAAACUAUGUUAUCUUAUUUUAUCAUUUAUUUAUAUUAUUUUAUGUCGACCUAAUCCGUACAGUUACCUGAAACAUUUGUCGUUAAUUUAUCACGUGACCAAAUUUUUUAACAACAUUUUAUAUAUACAUUGUGUAAAUAAUUAAUAAGCAUUACACAUUAUUAAAUUAUUUAUAUAAGUUAGUUCUAGAAAGUAACAUAGUGUAUGCAGCUUCCCAACUUAUAUGAAUCCAAAUUCCAGUUGUGUUUUAAUUAUUGCCUCCUUUGACUACCAACACCACUGUUUUUGGUCUUCUUACAUCUCAUGAUUAAAAGUUGGCUUAAAUAUAAUUUUAACUAUUUAACAAAUUAGUUUUUUAAUAUUUUUACAAAGUUUAUCUUUUGUGUUUGUGGUUAUAUUUAUUAACAAAAUUAGAAAAGUACACUAUAUUAAUAAAAUAUUUUGUUAACAGUAUCAGGGUUACAUCAUCAUCAUCGAAUUGACUUAAAUGUUUUAGAUAAAAAAAAUAAUAAAAAGUUAUGAUAUUCUGACAUCAUUACUCCAUCUUAUACCCACAAUACAAAUAAGAUGCAAAAUGUUUAAAAACUAAAAAAAUUAUAAAUUUUUAUAAAUAAUUAAAAUAUUAAUAUUUAUUGGGAUAUUGAAUAAACAUUUUCAAUAACAAAAAUAUAAUGAUAAAAAUGGAAACGUACAUGAAUUAAAUAUAUAUAUAUAUAUAUUUAUAGGAAUAAAGAAAUUUUUAAGCUGUUAAUAUGUUGUAUACUUUAAUUUAAAAUUAAUAUUAAAUAAAAUGGUUUACAAUGUCUUAUAGAAACGUGUUCUAAUAAAAGUUGUAACGUCCAACUAGUACAUUAUACUACUUUUCUUUAUAAUCAUGAAUGUUAUUUAAUAUUAAAUUUAUAUAUUGUAUGCUAUAUUUAAAUCUUGAAUAUUUUUUCACUCAAUAAAAAUGUUACCAUUUUCUUUUUGUUCGUGUAACUUUUUAAUUUAACUAAUAUUUUAAAUUAGUUUUAAUUAUUAUUUUUUAAAUAAUUUAGAAACUAAAAUAUUAAGAACUAAAAUAAUGAUUAGAUAUCAAUUUAAAAAUUAUUUUAUAUUUUUUAUUAAUAAUAAAAACUACUUUAAAUAUUAAUAAUUUUUUUAAUUUUUAAAAUAGUCUCUAAUUUAGUUUUUUUUAUCUUUGAAAUUAAUUAUAAUAUAAUAAAUUUUUUUAGUGAUUUGAUAAAAAUAAAACAAAAUAAAAAAAUUAUAUUUCAGAAAUAUUAAAAACAGGAUAAUAAAUUGUAUAGUGAAAACAGAGAGACGUAUAAAAAAAGCAUAAAAAAAUAAAUACAACAUGAACUUUGGCAAGAAGUAACUAUUUAUGCACAUGAUCCACUCAAAUCAAGAGAGCAUUCAUUCUCCUUGCAGAUGUUAAUAAAAAAAGAGGAAGAGUGGCAAAAAACAUGUCAAAAUAUGAACUCCUUCUCAUACAUUAAAUAUUGAAAACAUGUCAAGAUAUUAAUCAUAAUUAUUUAUUAAAAUAUAUAUCACGUUGGUUUUAAUUUCAAAUUUAAUUUCUAUUAUUGUUAAAUAAUUUUUAAAUUGAUAUCUAAUUCUAACAAAAAAAAAUUAUCAAAUUUAUAAUUUAAAUAAUUGAUAGUUAAAAUCUUGUAAUUAAUUAAAUAUCAAUUUAAGAAUUAGUUAAUAAUAAUAAAAACUAAUUUAAAAACUAAUUUUUUUCAGUCUUUAAAAUAGUUUCUAAUUUAGUCACUAUAACAACUAAUUAUUUUUUGUCUCUAAAAUUGAUUUCUAUUUUAUAAUUUUAUUGUAAAAUAGGUUAUAAUUGGAUUAAAAGUUUAAUUAUUUUUUAUUCAAUGUAUACUAUCCAACAUUCAUCUUUGAAUAUGCAGUGUAGUCUUAACUACAUUUAAAAAAUAAUAACUUAAAAAAUAUCCUUAUGCGAUUACUUUGAAAUAUAAAGUGUGAGAAUAUGAAUAAUCAUCUUAUAUAUAUAUAUAUAUAUAUAUAUAUAUAUAAACUUACAUUAAAAAAAUAUAUGUAAUUUAUUAUUAUAGAUAACAAAGAUGAUGAAUAUUAGGGAGAGUUAUCUUCUAUAUAUUCUUAGUAAUUUGUUUAGAGUUUGACAGAUCAAUAGAUUUAUUUACUUAUCUUAAUUGUCAAAUAUAAAAAUUAUCAGUAGCGAAAAUAAUCUCCUAUAAUUCAUUAUCUUAUGAAAAAAGUAUGACAACUUUUAAUCAAUUUUCUUUAUCUUAUGAUCUUUGAUUUACUAAAGUUUAUUAUAUUUUUUUAUCUCAUAAAAUAUUUACAACUGUUAAAUCUAUUCUUAUUACUUUUUAUUUACACUAUAUAUUUUUGCUAUUAUAAUAUCUUUUAUAUUUUCUUUAUCUUCCAGCACAUUUAUAGCAAUAUAAAAAGGUUUCAUAAGUCAUGUAUUAUUAUAAUAUAUUUUUAAAAAAGUCAGAGGCAAGGUGUCGGAGCCACCCUUACACGUAGCUUUUGUAAAUAAAUUUUUUAAGGUCAACUUUUUUAUUAGUUUGAUUCAAUAUUAGUGAUUAUUUUUAUGAGUAAAAUAUUCAGUAAAUUAAAUAUUCACUAAAAAAUCAUAAAAUAAAAAUUAAUUUUUAGUAAAAAAAAUAAUUAGUUGUUAUAGUAAAUAAAUUAGAAAUUAUUUUAUAGACUAAUUUUUUUUUUUAAAUUUGUUUCUAUUAUUGUUAAAUGGUUUUUAAAUUAGUAUUUUGUAAACACAAAUUUUGUUACAAAAUUUAUAAACUAAAUAAUUGAUAGUUAAAAUCUUGGUUGCUAAUUAGAUAUCAAUUUAGAAAUCACUUAACACUAAUAGAAACUGAUUUAGAAUUUUAGUUUCUAAAAUGAUAUCUAAUUUAGUUACUAUAACAACUAAUUAUUUUUUGUCUCUAAAAUUGAUUUUUAUUUCAUGUUGUUCUUGUAGUGAUUUAUUUGUAAAAAUAUUACUGAGUAAAUUUAUCUGACUCAGUUCAAUGAAAAGUUCUACUAAUUAAUGUAAAAUGUUUAUUAAAUUAAUUAUAAGAUUUAAAAUGAACCCUUUAAACAUUACAUAAACCAAAUUGAAAAGAAGAAGCUGUUCAUAAAUUCCACAUAUAGAGUUGUGUAUAGAGUCUCGAUCAAAACCUUUUUCAACGAAUCCAAAAAGCAUAUGAAAAGUUGAAAAUGAAGAAAAAAAAUGAAGCGUUGUAAUAAAUACACGUAAAUCUUGUGUGAUGCACAAGAAAAAAUAAUUUUGAUAAUGUAGAAAAUGUGAAAUUUUGUGGACGUGAAGUGUUGGUGAGUUGCAUGGUUUUGUCUAUAGUGAAUAGGUAAGCACAUGGAAGAAGGUCUGAAAUUUCUCUAUCUUCACCAGAAAACAGAAAAGUUGAGUCCAUGAAAUUUCGAGGUAAAUGAAUGGCCACCAAAAGUUAAGUUCAUUUCUGACCCCACAACACUCUCCACCCAUCUUCAACCCACGUCUAUGCAUUACUCAAAACCACACACACUUUGCUUUUAAUGAGAACAAAGUUAGAUAAAUACGACAAAUUCUCCUUUUCAUUACUUUGAACUCACACUUAGUAUACAAUUUUAGUUAAGUUUCUCAAAUUCACUUAAUAUACAAUUUUAGUUAAGUUUCUCAAAUUGGAUUCGGUUGAUAAAAAAAUAUCAUCCAUCACGAUUUUGUCCUUAAAAGGCAUCUUGGUGGGUUGAAGAUGAAUGUUGGAGAUCCCACGUCGACUAGAAAUGAAAACAAUUCAUUGUAUAUAAGUGGGUGCAAACCUCAACCUCAUGUGCCAGUUUUAUGGGGUUGAGUUAGGCUUAAAGUCCAUUUUCUUAACAAUGAGAGAGUAUAUAAACACUAUUAUAGGAUAUUAAUAUAUUUUAUGUUGAUUCAUCGCUGACGUGGAUGUUAUACUAUUAUAAUAUAGUCCAUACUAAAAAUUCGUUGUUGCGUGUACCGGUCGAGGUCAGACGAACCACUUCACCCAUUAUAGAAUUAAUGCAUCAAGGUAAAUUAAGGAGGUAUGCGGCAAAUCAGGUCCAUUUAAGUAAUGAUAUACAUUAGAUAGGUCCAUGAACUAGAUAGCUCAUUACAAACACUAUAAAAAAACAUGAUUAUACAAGAAUGAUGUAUGUUUUAUCAAUAUAUUAAUCAUACUCAUACAAAGCAUUUACUUGGUCGUUGGAUAACCUUUUACAGAUACAAGAAAACAUUACUGAGAGGAGAGUAUCAAUUGUCGGUAACAAGAGAGUAUUUUCUAAGCCUUAUACAAUUAAGACAAAAAAGUAUUGAUUAAGACAUAUUCCAAUAAUUUCUUCACUACAAUUAUUCAAAAAAAAAUUAAAAUUUGGAUUAGAAAUAAAAAAUAAUUUUACCCAUUAUAAAUAUUAUUUACUUUAAUAUAUAAGUUACACUUUCACAUGAGAAAUCCAACCUUCACUAUUCAAAUUAUAUUUAACUUUCAUGUAUUCUCAGCGUAAAGAUUUACAAUAAUAUAAUACUAGUAUUUAGAAAUAAUAUAUAUAACACUUAAAACCAUAGAACUUUUAAUAACUACGGUGCUAAAUCUCAGAUAAAUAAAAAUUUAAAAUUAAUAUUUGUCAUGCUAUUUUCUUAAUUUAAAAGUAAUUGUAAAUUAAGACAUUUUCAAAUAACCAUGGUUUUUAAUAUUGGCUAUUUUUGAUUAUUUUUUUUCAAAAUAACACACUUUCACUUUUUUUACUCCAAUACCAUGUACUGUGUCAAAUAAUCAUCCCAAUGACACGGGUUUUGAGUCUUAAUUUUUUAUUUAAAAAUAAAAUGAAUUUUAAAAUUUUAAAAUGAAUAAAAAUUUAAAAUCAUCUAAAAUUCGGCUCUUGAAAUGAACUAUUUUUUUUGAAAAAAAUAUACUCAAUCAAGUUAAAAAUUAAAUUUUAAAUUAUUGUAAUAAAUCAUAUUAUUUUAAUAAUUAUUUGAGACAUUAUGUUAUUUAAUUAAAAAAAUUAUCGUGAAUGUGUUUGUUAUGAUAGUUGUUGAUGUCCUUUUGAUAAGUUUUUGGCGUUAGCAUGGUGUUGUCACUGUCACCAUCGACAUGGUGUUGUGAGAAUCUUUUAUAUUGUGAGAAUCUUUUAUAUUAUCAGAAAACCAUUUUUCCCAUAAUAUCCAUUAUCUAGUGUUGUACCACUAUGAACAUUUUGAACCACACAACCAUACUUUAUUAUCUGUUUCUUCCUGCACCCAACAAAUUUCUCACUGCACUCAAUUAAUUUCAGAAAAAAAAUUGUUUUAUCCUUUUAAAAAUGACUUUCAAAUUAUUUUUUCAAAAUGUUUCUGAAACAUACUUUUUGGAAGUCGUAAAAUAUAUUCUCAGAAAAUAAUUUUUGAAAUAGAAAUUCUGAAAAAAAAAAAUUCCAAAACGUAUUAUAUAAAAGAAUGUGUUUUUUAGACUAUUUUUUCAAAAUAUAUUCUUAAAAGAGCUUUUCAGAAUAACAACGAAUUAAAAGAACAUUUUUGUCAUUAUAUUUAAUUGAUGGAAUGUAAAGAGAAAUUUGACGGGUGCAAGAAAAAAUAGCCUAGUUUAUUUUGUUUUGACCCACCAACCCAUUGUCAAAAGGUCACAUUACGGUUUUAUUGGGCUUGACCCAAAUUUUAGUUCAUAAAAACGACUGUUUCUUCCUGCACCUCCGUAUGUUCUUCUGGCACCCUAUACAAAACAUGAAAAAUACUUUUUAAUCCUUUUUGUGUCAUCUCCUAGAUUAUAUAAUCUAAAAGUAUGGAUUUGAUAGUAGCUACCAGAUUAUGUAAUCUGGACGUGCAUUUAAAAAAAAAAACUUAAGGAUUACAUAAUCCAGAAGUUAGAAAAGAUUUCUGGAUCAUGUAAUUCGGAAGCUAAUCAUGCAUAUGAAAAAAAAGUUCCACAUAAGUUAAUACGAAUGUGAAAAAUGACUUCCGAAUUACGUAAUCUAGAAUAUUGCAAAGAGACAUUUUUAGAAAUACGAAAAUUUAUGGAGGUGGGAAAAUAACAUAUGGAGGUGCAAGAAGAAACUGUCCAUAAAAACGAAUACGAAGAUUUUUGCUAUUUUCAUUUCCUUUACUUGCUAAACUCACUCCCAUUUCCAUCUUUGUUAUGUAAAAUUGAAAUAUAAGUUUAAUAACCAGGUUAAAUAGAAAAAGGAAAAAAAAGUUGAAGGUGAUACAAGAAAGAAGACUCUUAAUUUUUGUUGAAUAUUGAUGAUCAAUCCCUGAAAACAUGAACAAGUCCCCGAAACUCUACUCAUUUUUUUAAGGAGAAAAACAAUAAAAGUAUAUUUAAAUUUUUUGGUGAUGCCAUGAAGAUAAGAUACUUAGUCAGCUACACAACAAAGUAAAGACAAGGAGACAUUGAACACAGUUCACACCACAUUAUGAAAUUGGUCUGCAAUUAUUAGAUAACUAAAUCUAUCUGUUUUUUUUUUUCUUUAAUACUUUUAUUUUCAACCAAUUCGAUCAAAUAUUCUAUUCAUUUUCCAAACAUAUAGCGUGUAGUUGGGCAAACUCAGAAAUAUAAUAACUUAAUCAAAAGUUUUAACUACACCAAUUACUCCAAUUUUGUAUCAUUUAUAAUAUUUUUCUUCAAUUCGAACAAAUUUAUUUCUUAUAAAAUAUAGUUGUAAUUUGUGAUAAUUACGUGGGAGAAAGUGCAUUCAGUUUUUAUUUCGUUUUUCUAGUUUUUCCUUUUCUUCAUUUGUAUUUCUUAUCUCGGUCACUCAUAUCUCUUCUCUCGGUCAUUCAUGUAUUUAAAAUUAUAUUUCGAUCUCUCGGAUGUAAAGUGAUAUCUGCAAGAACAUUCCAAAGAUUAAGUUAAUAUUUGUGUUAAUUAUAAAAAAAAAAUUAAAAACUGAACCAAACAUUUAAUUUAUUUAUAUUAGUUGAUAAUGAACCUAGUCACCUUAUUUUAAUCUUUCUACUUAUUUUUAUUAACUAUUUUUUAUAUUUAAUUAAUUUUAUUUAUUUUUUAUAUGUAUUUUUUAUUAUUAAUAUUUGUAAGCUUUUUCUCAUAAUAUUUUUUUUUAUAAAAAACUUUUAUGUUAGGUAUCAUUAUGCUACUUGACAUCUCAGCUAGACUGACACCUCAAAUAACAACAAUCAUUUAUCAUCACAUGAAAAAAGUAUUAUUAAAAAUAAAAAAAAAAUAUAGAGACUAUACCAAAAUUCAUAUGUUAACAAAAAUACAGAAUCAUUAUAUAUUUUCACAUAAUAUUUUUAUUUGCACUUGUUUUUAUCUUUUUCGACCUAACUUCUCAAUAUGCAUACUUUGGAUAUUGGAUAUAAAAGGUUAAAGAGUAUAAGAAAAAUCAUCAAUUUGAUGAACAAUAGUGUUGUUAAUGACAGACAAAAUAUUGCCAGUUUUUGCUAUUCAUAUAAAUACAACACUUUUAACAAGUGUUCACUCACGAUACCAUUUCUUACAUUUGGUGAAGAAUAUAUUUUAGAAACUAACUUGCUUUUAUAAUAAAUUUUAAAUACUUUAUUUUAAUAUGUCGUUUCUCUAAAUUUUAGAGAGUAACUAUUGUUUAAUUCUAUUUUUUUUUUCAAAUUUUACUAAAAUCAGUUUUUAUAUUUUUAAUAUAAAAAUCAUGUUUUUCUUCUUCUUCUCUUUAUUAACUCCUGUCUGUUGAUUUGACUUCAAUAGUAAAAAAAUUAUCGACUCAGUAUUAUUAUUUUUUGAAUGGUAUGAAUAGACUGAUGUUAUUAUUGAUAUUGCAAAAGUUUUUUUUUCUUCCAUAUAGACUGAUGUUAUUUAUCAGUUAAUAUUAAUUAUUUUUUAUUUAUUUAUGUCAACAAAUUUUUUCAACUUAUAUAAACCACUUGCUUUAUUAACAUCAAUAAAUAUCAGUUUCAGUUAAGUCAUUAAAACUCUUUUUCGAUCAAUACAGAUAAGAGUACAUAUAUUUUUUUUAAUUAACAUUAAUAAUAAUUUUCUCAACUAAUAUUAAUAAAAUCUAUUUAUGGAGUUUAAUAUGUCAUACGAAAACAAAACGAAAUGAUUAUAAUAAAAAUAAAUAAAAAACUAAAAAAAUCCUAAUAUUCUAUUUUUCGAAAGUCAUUAGAAACUUGAUGAAUAAAAUAAAAACUAAUAUAAUAAAACGUAUUUAUAUAACAACUAAGAUUCUUUAUUAAUAUCAUUGAGACAAUUUUUCGUGAAAAAAUUAGUUGUUAUUUAUAUAAAUUAUUUUCUCAACUAUAUGUUUUUAUUUAAAUUUUUAAUAAUUAUUUGGUAAACAUGUACAAAGUUGAAAUAGUAAUUUUUGUACUUAUUAUUUUUUAUUCGAUAGUAGUUAAAUAAUUUAUGUAAAUUCAAAAUCAUUCAAAAUAAAAUUGCAAAGUUAAAUAAUUUAAAUUAAAAAAUCAUAUUUUUUUUAUAUUGUACAUUUUUUUUGUCACGAUAGUUCUAUUUUUUUUUUUUACGAAUUGGUGAGAAUUUUCUCAGAAGUGUGACCCUUACAAUAAAAACAUAUACUUUACAUCUUAAUAAAUUAAUAUAUUUUUUAAAUUUAAAAAUAUUAUUAUAAACAAUGUAAAAUAUAUGUUGUUUAUUCUUGUGUUAAAAAAACUUGUCUGUUUUCUUAGAAUAUUAGCCCACACAAAUAUUUUUGUACUUUUGUUGACUGAAACACUGGCAACAACUAUUAUACACUGAUGCAAGUGACUUUCACUGUUUGUCUUUUUCCUCCUUCAUUUCUCUAUUUACAUCUCCACAAUCCAACACUUUAUUCCUAUUCCAAUUAUUCUCUCCAUCUUUUUCAUCAUUUUUCUUAUUCUUCUUCUUCUAAGUCAUGAAAACAUUCAACAAAUUUGAAAUUCUAGUGCUCUUUGUCCUUGCUCUUCUCCUUGGGAUCACACCCCUGUUACCUUCUUCUCUGAGGCCAACCUACCUUUACUUCAUCUUCAAUCUUCUCAUCAUUGCACUGGGAGCAGAAGCUGGUCUUCUCUCAGUUUUUUCCAAGCCUUUAGAAGACAGAAAGCAGCAUGUUUCUGUCACCCAGAAAGCUGCAAUGCCCCCAGAAGUGCAUGAACAUGAUGAGGAAAGGGAAGAAGCUUUCAACAUGUUAGGAGGUGGAAGUGGUGCCUCAGACCACAGUGAUCAAAGGAAGGUUAAGGUUGUUGAAAUGAUUGGUUCUGAUGCUGGUGUGAGUGAAGUGGAUGAGAUGAAAAAGUGUAGUUCAAUGGCAAAUGUUUGGAUCAUAGGAGGUGGAGAAAGUGAAGAGAGGGAUGAAGAGAUUGAAGCAGGUAAUGGGCAAGAGUUGUUUGCCAAAGCUGAGGCCUUCAUUGGGAACUUCUACAUGCAGUUAAAGAUGCAGAGAGAGGUUUAUCAGGAACCCUUUUAGGAAAAUAUUACUUUUUUUUUUCUUUCCUUUUUAGAAUAACUCAUUUCUUGUAUAAACACGUGCUUCUGAUUUUGUGGUUCUAUUAGUUGGGAGCCAAAGAGAAAUUAUAUACUGCUUCUGUGAUAUUUUUCUCCCACUGGGUUUGUACAGAUUUUAAUCUGCAACCAAGCUAUGUUUAUUAAUUUUGUUCCGUCAAUAUAUUUCUACAUUACUCGAGGUCAAAGACAAUUCAUAAGUCGACAUCAAAGACAAUUUAUAUAUAUUUUUUAAGAGAUGUUUUAAAAUUAAAAUUACGAGGGAUCACAAACUUUCAAAACAAACGAUAUUUAAAUUUGAGAUUGGAACAAUAAUUUCUUAUCUUUUCAACUAAAAGAUCUUGAUUGUAGGUUUGUUUUGAUACUGACAAUAUAAUCUUCGUCUUGCAAUUGCUCAGAGUGAAUAAAAGAUUAUAUCAACGAAAUCGAUUAUAAAUAUCUUUCUAGCUUUAUGGGAAACUUAUUGUAAUGAACCAUUAUUUAUGAUUUGCAUGUUAAAAAAAUAGGCUAGCUUAGUGAUUAAACAAAAAACUGGUCUAUUAAUUAAAUACAUAAGAAAAUUAGUUGUUUGAGCUGUACUUGAGGGUUUCCUGUUUUUCUCAAGUCAUGUGAUGACUGAUGAAGUGACAAAGAUGUGGUUAUCUUGUUAAAAAAAGGUAGUUGAAAAUGUUUUUAUGUAAUUGGAAUAUUUAAUUAAAAACUUUGUGGAAGAAAGUGUGAUAUACUUGAUACCAAAAGAAGUGCCAGGUAAUGUUUGAUAGAGGCAGCUGCAUAUUUAAAGGAAAAAACAGACGAGGAGUGUUCAAUUUGAUUAUACAUCUGUCAUGAUUCUGUACGUACCAUCAUCUAGCCAAGUGUACAGAAAAAACAUAUGACCCCAUGGUAAUCAACAUUCUAAUACAUUUGUUAUUGGAGGUUAGCUUUGGAUGAGGUGUUCUCUAUCUUUUCUUCGAUAUUCUUGUUUGAGAUAUAUUCAUUAUAUUAUAUUUUUUACUCUAAUUUAAUUUUAUUAAAUUGAUUUAUAAAAUAAUGUUUGUACUCACUUAUAUACGUAAUACUAGGUAACCUAAUAAGUCUAACAAAUUUUUGUUAGGAUAGACUAUAAUUGGUUAUGAUAUCAUUCUUUUUCAUCAGCAAAUAAUAAAAUAAUUAAAAGGGAUACUUCAGAGGUAUCCCAACCCGUUUACAGAUAAAGAAAAUGAUACCUAUCUAUAUCUAGACUCUGUGCACCACUUCCCUUCCUAAAACUACCAACCAGGGACCAUAAACACCUAGAGGAGGGAUCAUAACCUAGAUGACUUUAAACCUAACUUAAUUUUAUAAAACCAAUUUAUAAUGUGAGGUAUUCACUCAUUUAUAAAUUAUGAAAUAUUUUUAGGAUUUAUGAUUUAAGAUUUAUGAUUUAGGGUUUAGGGUUUAUGGUUUAAGAUUUAUGGUUUAGGGUGGUUCAGGAUUCAAUGUUCAUUGUUCAUUGUUUAGGAUUUAAGAUUUAAGGUUUAGAAUUUAGGGUUUAGGAUUUAUCUCUAAUCUAUAUGACUCUCUAACAAUAGGAUGAUUAAAUUAAAUUUUUAUUAUUUAAUAAUGAUUUGUAAAUAUUUACCCAAGAAUACUCGUUCUCGUUAAUAAUAUUAAUAAGUGUUCUGUAUUAUUUGAAAGGUUUGGACAUUGGUAUGUCCAUAGUAGAGCAUCAAAGAAAGAAUAUAAGUUUGGCAUCUCUUCUAAAAUGGUUGAUUUGUUUAUUUGGUAGAUGCAUCCUUCUAGAUAAGAAUAUUGAGAAGAAUAUCUAUUCAUGUUUAUUAUCACAUUAUGGCUUCAUCGUGCAAACAUUUGGCCAGUCAUAGGCACUGCUGUAUUGUCAUUGUGGUUAGUUUUUGGAGUUAAAUUAGAGAAUAUUAUUUUACUUUUGGGAUACUAAUAUAAAUUUCUUCAAAUUUUGACGGGUGUUUUCGGUGAAAAUAUGAUCAAUUAACUAUCUUAAUUAAAAAAUUACAUAUAAUUGUAAUUUUUUAUUUAUUUAAUUCAUCACAUUCUACAACUUUAGAUAUAUAAUAAUUUUUACGAAAUUUUAUCGAUUAAAAAGGAGCAUGACCAAUUUCAGUGUGUAAAUUAAAACUUAUAUUUAUGAUUAUAAGAAUUUUCAAAGAAAAUAAUAUUUAAUUCAAAACCAGAAUAAUUAGGUUAAACAAUAAAGAUUAAUUGAAACAAUUUGGUUGAAAAUAAUAAUUAUAAAAAAUGCGUUUAAAAUUGAAAUAACAUAACAAACAUACGUAAAACAGUUACAUAAAUUAUAAAUUGCAUGAAAUGGACUUGAAUGGAAAUAUAAAUCUAAAUUUAAAUACAAUGUCAUAAAAGUUAUCAAAGUGAAAAUAAAGUAAACAACUUUAAAGAACUCCUAACACUAGUAUAAAAUAAGAUAAAUAUUAUAUAAUGUUUUUUCCAUCCAAUUUUAAAUUUUAAAAUUUUAUAUUUUGAUAAAAAAAAUUCAGUGCACACACGUGUUUUAUUUCAUGGAGGGAUGGUGAAGUUGGUGACAACCAAGAGCUGGUAGGAGUGAGUUCUUUUUCUAUGGCUACUUUUAAGGGAUAUGAUAACUUGUAAUCUCUGACAGCUAAUAAUAAUAUAAGUUUUUUUGUCUUUUCUCUGUUCUAUAAACAUGAAGACCUUGCGUAGACCUAUUUUGGUAUUCUUGUGGGCUCAAUUUACCUUGGAAUGUUUCUUCCAAAUCUCUUUUUCGGUAAGAUGCUAUCUUUUUGGUUCUAUGAUAUUUGUAUAACAAUAGGGAAUUGGAUUUGAUUGCCUUAUAAUAAGUCUCAAGGCAAGCCAAUCCAAUUUGUUUGGCCAGCCCCACCAAUUACCUAACUAAUCACCAACUCUAAAUUAUAUUUCUUCUACUUCGAACUUCGAUAAUGUGAAUUUUGAUUCAGUUAAAUGUAUGGUAUUCAUUUAUUUUUAAGUUGAACUAUGCUUUCUUUUCUUAUUUUGAUUGAUGUUUCGACCCUUUUAAUUAGUCUGUCAUAUUGGGAAGUUGUUAUGUGGGUGGUGUCUAAGGUUUGAUAGAGGUUCUUGUGUAGUUUGAUUGAGUGUUUUUUUCAAGGUUUUUUUUUUUCUGCAUAAGGGUUGAAAUCACCCUUGAAGUGAUUCACAUUUAUUUAUUUUUAUUGCUAAUAAAAAAAAUCUUCAAAUAAUUUAAUAGUAUAAUGUACAAUUUUUACAUUCAUGCUUACUUUAAAAAAUCAAACACCUUUUAUAAAAAUAAAUAUAAAAAUAUUAGAAGUUAGGUUUAAGUUUGAAUCUUUCUCUAAGACCAAUUUAUAAGGGAGGAUUGUCUCCACUAAGAAUAUUAAAAAUUAAUAUUAUCUCUAGUCAAUAUCACGUCAAUGUAUGGAUAUCUCGUGACUAGAUAUUUAUGGAUGGUUUAACAAUAAUAUGAUGAUAAGUGAUACAAUAAGUCUAACAAAUCUUAUUAGAUUAAAUUUUUAACAUUAUAUUAGAAUUCUUCAUCUUAUAAGUCAAUUUUGUGAGAAUGAAUUAAACUUAAAUUCACUUUCUAAUUAUCAUAGUCUAUCAUAACGAAAUUUAUUGAAUAUUUUGUGUUACUUUUGUGUUACUUGUUUAAUGGAAUGGUUGUUCCAUAAAUAUAUAAUUUCAUACUCAACAUAUUGAAGAUCUCACGUUAAUUAGAGAUAAAAUCAAAUUUAUAUAUAACUAGAGAAAAUUCUCAUCUGAUUUUUAAAGAAAAGGGUUUUGCAACUCACUUCCGAAUACAAAAUAUUUUGAUCAUGAUUAAAUUAUUUCGUUAAUAUUUUCAGAUUUUAUAAUAAUAUAUUGGUCUUGUGUGCAAGCAAAAGAGAGAAGUCUUGUGUGCAAGCAAAGUCCAUUGAAUAACCUAGAAUGUGUUUGUUUGAAGUUAUUUUGUCAUAUUUCUGAAGAUGUAUUAAUAGAAAAUAUGCUUUCUAUGUUUGUUAGCAUUAAGAAUUUUGCUGAACAUAAUUCUAAGAAAAAAAUAACUUGUUUGUUUGGAAGCACGUGUUAUGUUUUGGAGGACCAUGUCAUAGUAUGUUACAAACAAACACAUUUUACAUACGAACCAGUUUUAUGCAGCGGCAUCCAAUGUACACAUCGGACAUAACUUAAUGUUUGGCUGAGAUUGAAAAAAAUAAUUUGUACAGUAAAUGCAGAUACCAUCAUAACUUCAUAUUAACCAUCCAUUACAAUCAGCAUAAUAUCUUGGAAGUUUAUUCAAAAUUCUUCAAUUUUCUAAACUAAAAAACAAGGCUCAUGAUUUUCAUUUAGAAAUAUUACUAUAUUACUAAAUUACUAAAAAUACUAAAAUAUAUUAUAUUAAUAUUACUUUAAUACAUUAUAUUAAUAUCAUUCUAAUAACAUUAAACUAUAUAUUUUUAUUUUUGUUAAUUUUAAUUUAUUGUAGAUGUUUAUCAUUCUUUGUAUAUAUAUAUAUAUAUUCAUACUAUGACAUAUACAUUUUUGGAUUCUUUUGAAACUAUAUUUCAGAAACUAGUUUUUAAAUCUUAACGAAAUAAAAAGUUUCAUAACAUAUAUAAAAAAAAAACCGAAUUCAUAACAUAGUUUGGUUACUUUAAAACGUGCAUGCUAUAUAUCAUAUAUAUUUAUAUUAAUACAUAUUUAUAACUUGAAUAUCAUUCUGUUUCUUUAAAACAUUUAUUAAUAUCAAUUAAAAAAUACAUAAUUCAGACUUUGUAUUGGUUCAUAAUAUGAAUAUAUUUGAAUUCCUAUUAUUUAAAGUAACACUAAUAAUGUUCGUUUAUAAAUAAAAUAAAAUUUGAUUAGAUUAGAUAAAAGAUAAAAGAUAAAAUUAUACUAAUUGGAUAGAGAUAAUUUUUUUUAAAGUAGCAUGCAUGUGAGAAACACAUGCAGUGAAAUAGCAUAAGAUUAUGAUGAGUUCAGCAGAGAAGAGAAAAAGGGUUUUUGACAGAAAUCAGAGAGAGAUGGAAGCAUCGGUGAAUGUGGUGGAGAGAAUCUUAGGGUACAAAUUCAGAAAUUGGAAGCUUCUAGAAGAAGCACUCACUCAUUCAUCUUUCACGGAAGGUGUUUCUUACGAGCGCCUUGAGUUCAUCGGAGACCCCAUUAUCAGUCUCGCCAUCAGCAACUACCUCUUUCUCGCCUACCCGCAGCUCGAUCCUGGCCACCUAUCUACCCUCCGCGCCGCCAACAUCAGCACCGAGAAGCUCGCCCGGGUCGCCGUCCGCCACGGCCUCCACCGCUUCGUCCGCCACAAUGCGCCGGCCCUCAGAGACCAGGUCGAGAGGUUUGUGGACGCCGUCGCCCUAGAGAAUCACUCCGUCGUGGCGCACGGCGGAUCCGUCAAGGCGCCCAAGGUCCUCGCGGAUAUAGUCGAGUCCGUUGCCGGAGCUAUGUACGUUGACGUGGGAUACGACCUGGAGGAACUAUGGAAGGUGCGUAUUGAUUUUUUUUUUUCUUAGAGGAUGAUGAAUGAUGACAAUUUCUUUUGAGUUUUGAAAUUAAAAUUUAGGUGAUCAUCUGGUAAGGUUUUACAUUGUUUUUCGCUGUUCUUUGAAUCAAUUGAGAUGAUAAAGUGCGAAGAAUCAUGAUCUUUAUGAAUAGUUUUUGGACGAGGUUUUCAUGUUGGUGAAGACAGUGAUGGCUUCAAAAUCUUCAAAGUUGCAUUUGAAAUCAGUUUUUUAGAUGCUUUUGUAAAAUUCAAGAUGUUGAAAAAUUGAUUUCUUGGAUUUUGAUUAUGAUUUUGACAGAAUUUCAGAGGAAUUUUGGAACCAAUAGUGACACCUGAGGAUUUGGAGCAACAGCCCCAACCGGUGACGGCAUUAUUUGAAAUAUGCCAGAAAAGGGGGAAACAUGUUGAGAUUAAACAGGUGAGAAACGAAACAGAGAGCAUGGCGAAUGUGUUUGUUGAUGGAGAGAUUAUUGCCUCUGCUACCUCUGUCCAGAAGGAUCUGGCAAAACUUGAAGCAGCAAAGAUUGCUUUGAAUAGAUUAGCAUAUCUGGUUCCUCGGACCAGUACGAGACCUUGCUGCAGUAACAUGAACUUUUAUCCUGACGAGGAUGGGAACAUGAUUAUUGAAGGAGCCAAACAUAGACUACAUGAACUCUGCGAGAAUAAAAAAUGGCCUAAGCCAGUGUAUAGGUACUGUUUUUUAAGAUGAUUCAUCAAAUGAGUAACAUUGAUUUUCAUGUGUGAAACUUUUGACAUGUUGACUAACUCUGCAAUGCCUCACAGGAUUGUGAAGGAUUCGGGUCCCUCUCAUGAGAAGAGAUUUGUUUGUGCUGUUGAGAUAACUAUUGAAGAAGAGGAACGGAUCCUUCAAAUGUCUGGCUAUGAAAAAUCUAGGGUGAAGGAUGCUCAGAACACUGCUGCUUCAUUGAUGCUUAUGGCCUUACUUGGACAGUAAUUAAUCACACACAGAAUCAAAGUGUUGUUGUAAUUUUUGUGGGGGUGUCUCUUCCAUCUCCUAUUGGAAUCUCUUAGUGUCUUCUACUGUAAUCUUUAGACAUUAGCUAACUUAAGCUUCAUUUAAAAAUAGGGGCCUCUUUGAGGAUAUUUUAGCAGUUUGUUUGGAAAUUGUUUUUGAUAAUCUUGGUUGUAAUUUAUGAGUCUGAAUAUUAGUUCUUACAAAUACCAUUAUAAUCUUGGCAGAUACCAAUUUCAGUCUCUCUUUCUUUACUCCUUACUAUUUAAAGUCAUAGAAACAAAGAGAUAUAAUCUUCAUGUUUAGGAACUGAAUGGUAAAUUUAUUAAAUUAGCGACUAAAUAAAUAAUUUUACAAAAUUGAUAAAAGAACUUAAAAUCAUUUAAAAGAGUGCUAUGAACUGAAUAAUGAAAAAAUGUAACUGAAAUUGACAAAUAAUUUGCUGAGACCUAAACUAUUUUUAUGGUUUAAACACAACUAAUUUGUGAACCAAAACUUGUAAUGUUUUGAGUAUAAAUAUUCUUUUAAGGGGAUUUGUUAAAAUUUUAUAAAUAUUUAAUAAAAGAUAUAAUACUGAAUUUAUUAAGAUUUUAAAAAUUUAUACUUUAUCUAAUACUCCAUAUGAAUUCAAACUCUUAAAUUAAUAUUAUAAUAUAAAUAAAAAGUAGUUUUAAGGAGAGAAAUAGUAAGUAUUAUUUUAUUGAAAAUAUAAGAAAAAUGAAUUAUUAAUUAAAAAUAAAAAGGAUGUGAUGUGAGUAAAUAAUUUCUCCAAGUAUUAUAAAUAUUACCUUAAGAUGUCAUUGCUCUCAUUCCCAUGAGAUUGUGAGAUUAGAUGUUCAUUUGUUUACAUCAAGCGCGGAAAACUUAGAUCCUUCCUACCAAAUUUUCAUUUUCAAUAGAUAUCCGAGAAUAAAUACCAUUCAAUGUUCACUCACAGCAAGUUAGAAAAUUUCAUGACAGUAAGCAAAAAAUUAAAAUAUUUUUUUCUCACGACACCAUCAUGUGAUCAAAUCCUCCUCCACCUUGAAGUGCAGGAACUCGAUUGACUCCGAUAUUGUGAAGCAACUGCUGUAGCCACCUCCUUGCUGUUGGGUCUUCCUGCAUGCAUAAAAUCAAACCAAUAUAAAAAUACUAACAGCAUAAAAGUAUGAAUCAUCAUCAUCCCUUCAUAAUACCUGCUUUAUGAAGAAGAAAGCAAACAUUACUUUAUAAUACCUGCUUCUAAUCUUCUAUUUACUUAAUAGAGUCACUCAAAUCAUAUUGAUUAAAUAAAACUUUUCAACUUACACGAAGGCAACUACUGAAUGUAGCGUCUCUUAACAUGUCUGGGAGACAGGUUCUCAAGGCCUCGCAAGCACUGUUUUGAAGUGACCAAAGUUUUAUUAGAAACUUGGGAAGAGAACACAAGGUCAAGGCAGGAACACUUAGAACACUAGAAUGAUUAUAACAAACCUCUGGUUAUCUGACAGACGAAGAUAACAACGAAUAAUAUGCUUCAAAAGACGGCAUGAUGGUUGCUCUACAAGAGUUGCCACCAUGUUUCCCAAAACUCGACCCACUGCAUAAAAACGCUCUGCUGUAGUGCAAAUAUAUUUCAAACCAAUUUCGUCCAACAGAAUUUUUUGAACUAUAAAGGUUGCAACCUGCAAUAAAUGGAACUUUCAUAUUAUACACAAAUUUUCCUGUAUACAAUUGUUUGAUAGACAUAGGAGAGGAUCACGAGAUAGGGGCAAAAACAAACAUGUGACUCAGCAUUUACUUACUGAACACCACCAAACAAAAUACAAGAGUGAAACUCUCAAGUAAAAACAAGAUCAGUAAACUUAACCGUUUUUGACAAUUCACUGCCCAUUUCCAUACUGCGCAAGCACAGCGGAAUAAUCUCUGUUGAAAGAAGAAAACUUAUAACUUCUGUAUCGUCAACCUGGUGAAAUAAAAACGAAAAGGAAAUCAAACACAUGACAAGAAAAAGUAUAAAUGUACCUAUGGCGAGCAACAAAGACAAUAUUUUCAUCUCACUAGAGAAAUAAAUCACUUGAAGGAAAAAUUUUAUUCUCUGAAAAUAGUGAUGAACUCGUCCUAACAAGCUGGGUUGUAUGUUAACAGGAAAGUUAACAGAAAUAACUGAAAAUAUACAUGAACAUUAGAAGACAAACACAACUAAUUAUUUGUGGCAACAACACUAAUUAAACGUCUAAUUACUGUUUUUCAGAAAGGCAUUAGUUGAGGUUAUUGCAAUAUAUAUUUUUUUAUGGCUUUGUGACAAUACUUUUACUAAUUGAAAUUCUUCACCAACAACAGCAAUCAACAAGGAGGUAAUACGACAUUACCUUCACCAAGGCACCAAUGACUCCUAGACUGGUAAGUCUCAAAUACUCAAAUGGCCUCGACUUACUUGUUGUAUUAAGGAAGGGAUACAGAUAUAGAGGUAUAUGAGCUGCAGAUGAAACAAGGUAAGUGAAAAGACUGAUAUAUUUUUUCUUUUAAGUGUUAAUUAUAAUGGACAAAAACACUACUGAAUUAGAUAAUGUCAAAGGAAUCUCUUUACAUAUAAAUUAGAAAAAAAAAAACAGAAGAAAAACUACAACAUGCCUUCCACUUCAGCCCAAAAGUAUGACAGUAUACUGGAAGUAAAACAAGGACGACUAACUACUAAGAGCCAGUGGUAUGACCUAUAAACUGCGUGACAGAGAAGCUUCAUUUCCUAGCAAGAAUAAGUAGAAGUCCUAUGACAAGAUAGACAAUGUUAAGAAAGAGUUUGCAUUUAAAAUUUAAGCACAUGAUUCUGGUUUAUACCGAACUUUUUUAGAUUAUAUAUGGUCUAACCAUCAUCCAAUAAAUUUUAUAGUUUAACAUUAUUUUAAUUUUAAUUGUUUAGCAAUUUACCAUAUCCUAUGGCAGUUUUAAAAUACAGGGAGGAUAAGAUAUCAUGAAUUGAACAUAUACUAUACGAAAGCAAAUGUUUAGAAUAACAUCAAUAAAAAAAAUGAAAGCCUUUAUUAUUCUUGGAAAUAUACUUGGAGGACCCUCCUUGAAAGAAACACUUGAAUAAUCCACAAAAUGAUGUACGACUUACACAAUUCAUAAUAGCCAAUAUACUAUUAUAGAGCUGAUGCCUUGGUGAUUAAGACUUUACCACUUUUGAGACACCAAUGACAAACUCUAGUAAUAUUGAUUGAGUGUUCAAAACAUGAAACACAAGCACAUCAUAAUACCCAAUUUUCUAGUAAACAUCCUCCUUAAUUUCUCUCUAAAAAUUUGUAUUAUGAAUAUUUAAUUUUAAAAACUUGUGGUAUGACAUAUUUUUCCAUUUUUACUCCCAUUCCAAUGUCUUUCAAGGUUUAGACUUGAAAUUCCAAAGGUAAUAAUGAUUGGUUUAUGCAUGAUGUUGGUUAAUAUUGACUCCUAUUGGUUUCUUAUGCUUUCUAAAAUUUCUGUACUCCAUGAAGGAUGAAAACUUGUUGGCAGAAGGCUCUUAACACUACAAAGAUAUGAUUUAAAAAGUCUCUCCCAUCUUCGCCAGGGUGAUAGAUGAGCUGAUGGUUUUGGUAACACUUUAUUUUUAAUAAAUUGGAUUUUCUUUGGUUUGUUGCUUUACCUGUUUAUUUUUGUUUUUUUUUUUAAAUCGUUUAGACCUCCCAGAGUUUAGGCUUUGUUUGGUUUACUCUUUGCAUGAAUUUGGUUUGGUCCCCUUAUGCUUCUUGUAUCUUUUUCUUUUUUGUUCUCAUAGAUUUUUCAUGUGAACUUGGUUUGGUUCCCUCAUGCUCCUUGUAUUUUUUCUUUCUUGUUCUCAUAGAUUUUUCAUGUGGUGACAUGUGAUUGAUGAAACUUUAAGAUGAAAACCUAAUUAGGAUAUCACCGUUUCAUUGAUAUCUAAGUUGAUUUUAAAUCAUAAGUAAGGAGUUUAGGUUGAGCCUUAAUUAAUACUAUCCCUAUAAGAAAGAUUUUAGUCUCAUUUAUAGGAAUCCUCACUCUAGCCGUCACUCCAUCAUACAUGUCUCUGUAGCCUAGACGUGAUAACUUCAAAUUUCUCAUCUAUUUGGGUGACAUAUUUAAUAUCAAGUGCAGCAAUGACUGAGCUCAUGAACUUGGAUUCUAGACUCGAGUACUUUUUCCCAUUCCAAGUAUUACUCAGCAAGCAUAAACUAAACCUCAACACGAGCAUCCCUUAGUACUUGGCCAAAAAAUUCUUAUAUUGGGUUCAAACCAGCUCAUAUUGAAAAACUCCUUAAGAUAACUUUCAUAAAAUAAAAUCAAAACAUAUCACUUGUUCCAUCACUAAUAAAUAAUGCUAAGUUAUAAUUAGAAUACCAUUACCAUUUAGGAAUUGCAUCCUUGUAUCAAGGUGAGACGCCACACACUAAAAAAAUCCAUGGGUAAAAGAGACGUGUUAGUAAGAAUGCAUUGAACAAAAGGAGAAAAAGACCGGACAUAGUAUACUUUAUGUGACUGGAGUUUUUCAGGGUUUAAAAAAUAUUUGAAACUUAUUAAAAGUGUGUCGAACUGUUGAAAAUGAGAUAUACAAUUUGAUAGAACGUGAUUAUCUCAAUUCUCACCUGAAGAAGAGCAAGAGCAUUGCAGACUCGAUUUGAUUGUGCUGGAGUGAGGUUUGGUGGUGAAAUAACAGGGUAUAUUGAAACUAUUUCCUGGAAGAAAAUAAGAGAAUUAAAAAAUAACAUAAAUCUAGUAAGAGGUGAGCAAGCAUUAUUUCAUUUAGAAAAAAACUAAAAAAAAUAAGAACAUUUUGAUGCUCUUCAUGUUUUAAAAAAUGUUUUCAAAACAAUUUUACACUAAUCACCAAUCAAUUUAUCAACCAAAAUUCAACUUUAAUCAAAAUUGAGAAUUAAGAUUUACACAAUUCACAUUCUAAAAACGUAGUGGUUUUACUUUACAAUUUUCAUGUAAUAAUGACUCUUAACACAGAAUAUUAACAGAGGAUAUUUUACAAAGCACUCUGAACAAAAAAUAAAAAUCCCAAGAUGAACAGUAUGAAACAAAUUUAAAAAGCAGCUAACUAUUCGAAAAUACUUAUGAAUCACGAUUCAAUGCUGUCAAAUAGCAGUUACACCAUAACAAAGAGUUUUUGGCCCCCUCCUCUAAGGCCGUGCAAUAAGCCACAGUGACAUGUUCAUGUGGUGGAAUUUUGGCCUUCCGCCAUUUAUAACCUUGCUCUUGAAAGUCCAAAUUCUAAAGAAAUAAGGUCUAACUAACAACAUUGAUAUAAUAAUACAUAAAAUACGCGAAAGAAUACAGCAGAAAAGAAAGCCAAGUGAUAAGGAAUACGUAACGGUAAUGCAAGUCACUCAGAGCAUACCUGCAAAAGUGCCGCCAUAGUACCAAAAGAAUUCCACAACAACGGAGCGAGAUCCUGAAAUAACUCUCUCUUCUAAUAUACACACAGAACAAAAAACGAAAAAAAAAAAGAAAAAAAAAAAUAGUUAAACCGCACGAGUUUUGAAACGACGAAACAUGAAUGAAUACAUGCACGAGAUAGAGACAUAGAUAGAUAGAUAACAGAAAUAUAAUUCUUCCAUUAUCAAUGCUUAGCAUGUGAACAUAGCGAAACAUCAUAUUUAGAAGAAAAGAAAAACAAAAUCCCUAACGAACGCGGCGUUUGGAGUGGUUGAAAUAGUUGGAGUGAAAAAACAGGGGAAACAGAUGAAAUUGGAAUUGGAAAAUCGAUUGAGCAUACCUUGGAGAGUUCAUGAAGUGCGUUUUCUCGAAGAUCAGGGUUGCUGAGUUCGAGGACGAGAUGUUCGACAGACGCCAUUCUACGAUCCUUUGUUGCAGAGACAGAAGGAGCUCCAAAGGACCCACCACUCAUUGAGAUUGAUUGCGGCAAAUUCGCCAUUGACUAACUCAGAGUGAGUGUGCAAUGUUGUGUGUGUGGGAAUGUUGCGAGUGAGACGUUUUCUUCCUCUGAUGCCAACUUCCUUGUUAUUUAUGUGCGUAUGCGAAGCAAUGGUGCGUAAUGGAAGGAGGCAGAGACACAUGUUUUGCAUGCUACAAAAUGCUAACGCCUGUUUCUCUUGCACCCUUCCACUAUCAGUUACAUUAUUCUAAUAAUUCCAAUCGACACUUUUUUUUUUUCAUUUUUAUAAUUAAAAUAUACUUUAUGCCAACAAAAUUGGACUUUACUUUUAAUUUGUGCAAAAAAUCUAUCAUUAAUAACCAUAUAUGUCUCUAAUUUAAAAAAAUAAAAAUAAUAAUCGUUCAUUGUCUAUUCAGAAUAUGAACAGUUUGACUAUAUUAACCUUUAAACUUUUUUUUACACACUAAAAAUUAUAAUGGAAUAAUUUUUUAAAAUUGUAACCUAUGUAAUAGAGUCAUUUAUAGACAAAAAAAAAAUACAUAGAAUCUCAAUUUUUAAAAUGUAGGACACAAAUCUAUAUAUUAUAUAAUUAUAAAUUAUAUACUUAUAGACACGAAAAUACAUAGAAUCUCAAUUUUUAAAAUGUAAGACACAAAUCUAUAUAUUAUAUAAUUAUAAAUUAUAUAAAUUGAAAAUAAAAAUUUAUGUGUAUAACUAUAUUUCAAUUUUUUUUUAAAAAAAAUAUUUUUCAUAAUUAGUUCAAAAUGAUUUAUUCCUUAUUUUUUAAUCAUAAUAAAAAUUUAUACAAUAAAUUUGAAUUUUAAAAAAUUAAUGUAUUUUUUUUAAAUUGUAUUAGAACUGUGUGAUAGAAUUGUAAAAAAUCCAAUAAAUAAUUUUUUAAAAUUGAACACUUCAUCAAUAUGUAUUUUAUGAGAGUCAAAGAAAUGUGUCCAAACUUCAUAGUAACCUGUGGAAUCCGGUAUUAUUACUAAAAAAAAUGAUUUCUCAAGAAUAAUGGUGAGGAAAUAUUACUUAUAGAAGCUUAUCCUAUGUAUGGGUGAUUUAAAAAAAAAAAAAAACUACUAAGUAUAAUAUUUACACUCUACAUCAUUUUUUGAAUGACUAAGAAUAUAUAUAGUAUGCAACAUAUUUAUUUCCAAAAAUAUCAUCUGUUUUUUAUAACAAUAAUUAUGCAACUAUGGAUGUAAAUGGGAGGAUUUUAAUUACAUAAUGUUUUUGCACUAAUAAUAAUUUGAUAUUACUAAGAAAUAGUGGUAAGAGAAUAUUAAUUAGAGACUGUUUUAAUUAAAAAUUAUUUGAUUAUUAAUCCAGACUUUUAAAAAACGACUUAACGGUUAAUAUUUCAAUACGUUUAAUUUAUUAUUUAUGCUGUUAAUAUUUUAUUAUUAUCACUCCUUCAUCCUGCCCUGUAGCGUGGUUUUUUUCCACGUUAAAGGAAAGAAAAUCAUUUUUUAUUAUUUAUGCUCAUUUUUUUUUUCCAAUUACUUUUAGACUCUUUUAUUUAUUAUCAGUUAACGGUUAGAUAUAUCUUCUCAUAUAUAUUAUUAGUAUUUAUUGGAAUAAAUUAUAAAUUUAUACUCAUAAUAAUAUAAGUGUACAAAUAAUAAAAUAUAUAUAAAUAAUAAUAAAAAAAUGUAUACAGUCGCGAGAACGAAUGUGUGUUUUGCUAGUUAUAAAAAAAUAAAUAAAAGAAACUAAUUAGUUAAGAAAAGAAUAUAAAAAUCUCAGGUAUUAUCCAGAAAUGAAUAAUGUACUUCAUUGUUUAAAUUUAAAUAAAACUCAAUGAAAUAUCUAAAAAAAACACAAAAAAAGUAAUAGACAUUAUUAAUGGAGGCAACAUUAUUUGGCAAUUAUAUUGAGUUUUGGUGGCUGCUCCUCCUGAAUUUGUUCUGUCUGGUUCUGGUUCUUGUUUUGAUUCUGUUUCUGCUUGAGCAUGAAGAAGCGAAUCCAGGUGUAAACCUCCAAGCCAAAAGCGAUGGCACCCAGAAAAGCAAGAUUUCCAAUGUACCCCCACUUCCAUUCAACACCUCCUUCCAAAAUGCGAAUUCCUUUGAAUAUGUUUAUGAUUAUGAUAGCAAACAGACCAUAACCAAGAAAAUGAUGGUACAUGUUCCAAUACUUUCUGUAAUCGUCCGUCAUCUUUGGCUUUAACCGAAAAGCCAACAUCUGAAAAUCAAUAACCAAACUUCUCUCAACAUCACUGUGUUCCAUUUCUACGAAUCAAUCAAUGCAUGCAAUGAGAAUCAACACGUAAAUACGUACUCAAAUAAUGUCUUAAUCAGAUUCAGAUUUGUGGAUAAUAGUUAUAGGUGGAAUGUAAAGACAUAAGAAGAUAUUUAAAAGCGGCAGAUAGAACAUAUAAGAUUUUAUACAAUAGUGCAACUGAAAGCGUGAUCAUGGGUAGUGAAUAAAGUUCGAUGGAUAACUUUUUCACUGAUUGGUGUUUUGAGCCACUAGUUUGUAUAAAAUCUAUAAAAAGUUACUAGAUUUUUUAAUUAUGGAUAGAAGGAUUUGAAUGAGUUUUGUAAUGAUUUAUAUAUACAUAUGAAUAUGUCACAGGCUAAUAUGUCACAGGCAAUGUUAGAAUAAGAAGGUUAUAAAGAAUUUUGUAUAAGAAUUGAGGUAUUUCUGAAAUAUCUAUUAUUUAUUUAUUUAUUAAUAAAAAAUAGUCAAAUAAUUUGUUAGAAUACAAUUAUACUAAAUGCGUUUAAAACACUUUUAAAACAUGUUAUUAUUAAAAAAAAAAUCAUUUUGUUGUUUGUGGAAUGUUUGAUGUCGUCUUGGGUAGAAGAAGUAAUGUCAUUCAUGACAAAGAAAGUGAAAAAGCGAAAGGUUGUUGUGAUUAAAAUGAAAACAAGAACUUAAACUUUACAAUAGAGGGAACCCUUGUAUAAAAAAUUAACACAAGUAAGUCUAAAAAGAUAGCAAACUAAAAAAGUUAAGCAUGUAUGUAGCAGUUUGUUGUUGGUGCAAUCAUAUGACAUUAAUUAAAUAUUUAAAAGCUAAACCUAAUUACUAAGGAAUGAAUCCACAAGUGGACUAAGGAUGAGGCAAAGGCAAUGAACGAGAUUAAAUUAUAAAGAGAAAUAAUACCUGAAUUGUGCUAAAGACGAAAAUGAGAAUGGCAUAAGUACGAUGAUCGUGGAAGGUGUAGUAUCUAGAAGAAUGUCCGAGACUUAGCCCAAUAGCCCAUCCGGUGGUGCCAACAAGAAAACCAGUUAAUUGGCAACCAAUGUGAAGGUUAAACCACAGUGGCUCGCAUUUGAAAGGAAACACCCGAAAGUACCUUGCAAUUAUAAUCCCAAUCGGCAACAGGGUUCCCCACCCUAUAAUGUUUAUCACUCCAUGUAUCUAUAUUUCAAACAACAUACCCAACCAUCACAAAUAAUAAAUAUAUAUAAUACCAAUCUCUUCAUUUGUGUAACAAUAUUAUUAAAAUAUUAUUAAGCAAGCAUUCAAUUAUAAGUUUAACUCAACUCGAUAAAAUUAGAAUAGUUACUUAUUGGUAAAUUAGAAUAGUUACUUAUCGGUUCUUAAAUGAUGUGUAUGUAUUGAACAUCAAUACUUGUAAGACACGUAUGACUGAAAUCCAAUUCAACAAUUUUUUUGUUGAACUUCUGAGAAUUAUAACACGGUUCUAACACAAUUUUAAAAACGAAAAAUACAUUAAUUUUUUAAAAACCCAAAUUUAUUAUAUAAAAUUUUAUUAUAAUUAUAAAAAUAAAGAACAAAUUCUUUUGAACUAGACAUGAGAAACAUCUUUCUCCUACAAAAAUUUGAAAAUACUUGUGCACAUAAAUAUUUAUUGUCAAUUUAUAUGAUUCAUAAUUAUAUAAUAUAUAGAUCCGUGUCCCAUGUUCUACAUUUUAGAAAUUAUAGGUUUAUGUAGUAUAGACACUAAUACGGACACUACAUAGAUACAUAUAAUAUCUAAAAUGUAGGACACGAAAACACAUAUCUAUAUAUUAUAUGAAUUAUAUAUAUUAACAAUAAAAAUUUACGUGCACAAGUCUCUUUCAAUUUUUUUGUAAUAUAAAGAUGUUUCUCAUGUCUGGGUCAAAAGGAUUUCUUCCUUAAUUUUGUAAUCAUAAUGCAAAUUUAUACAAUAAAUUAAAGUUUUUAGAAAAUUAAUGUAUUUAAAGUUGUAUUAAAAUCAUGCUUGAAUUAUUAGAAAUUUAACAAAUAUUUAUUGAAUUAGACAUUUUACCAAUAUAUGUCCUACACGAGUGUAGAUAAUAAUACGUGUAUCCAAGACAGACACAUCAUUUAAAAAGAAUGUUGGAUCCUCAUAAUUAUACGCAUCUCAGUGUGUCUAGUGUUUCUAUCUAGCUUAUCUGUUAUGAAAUAUGUGUGACAAGAACAAUUAGGUAAAGCGAAGAAAAUACAUAAUUCUCACCGAUCUAAGAUAACUCCGGUACUGUCCAGUGCUACGGCCGUUGCUAUCAGUCAAGUCUAUGACCUCUGUGCUGUCGACGUUCCGGAGAGUUGUUGGAUGUCGAUGGGGAUGCCCACCUUCGAUACCAUACCCAACUUGCCACACAUGGUUCAGCCUCGUUACGUUAUACUCUUCAGAGGGAAGCCUCAAUCUAACAUACAUCGUGUGCAUGUUAUCAGCCUCUUCCUCAACCGACUUACUCACCACAAUUCCAAUUUUCGACGGCAGAAGAUUGCACCCGUUUCUGAUCUCCUUCGUAAUGUUGUACGUGUCCACACUCCACGUUCCAUCGGACCGUUUGACGGCCACGAUGGCUCUGGUCCCAACCAUCUCUGGUCUCUUUCCGGGGUUCACUCCCCACCCUAUCCACCCUUGUUGGGUUUGGAGUGUGGCGCCGAACAAGAUGUCCACCACGGUGGAGUUGUUGCCGGAGAAGUUGCCGUGGAGGUUCCAUGCGAACUCCGCCCCCAGAGUGCGCAAUCUCUUGCAGUCUGAGAUGUUCUUUUUCUGGGCCAGUUUGAAGAAUGCUUCAGUGCAGGCUUGGGAAUUUGCAGCGAGGGUGAAGGAGAGAAGGGUCAGUGUGAAGAUGGUUAAUGGCAGUGACAUGUUUUGUUGUUGGUUUUUCAUGUUUUUAUGUUGUGAUGUUGGUGUUUUUGUUGCGAUGUAUAGAGAUAUAUAGAGAUAGCUUAAAAGUUGUUCUCUUUCUUCAUGAUGGUGUUUGUUACCAGUGGAUUUGGUUAUGACGUGACUUCUUCAAGUUGGGUACGGUCACUUUUGGUCUUCAAGUUCUCUUUUAUCCUCUUUGGUACCAGGGACAUGCUUCCUAAAGAGGAUAAGAAUUUUGAAAAGAAUUAUUACAGGUUGAAAACACAAGACUAAAAACACACUACUGAAUUGCUUUCUGGUAUACUGUAAGUGCUAAAACUACCAUAAUAAGAAAUAAUCUUUUAGUGUAAUGUGAGCUUGUGUAAAGAGAUAGAGAAAUAUUACUUUAACCCUGUUUACAAAGUUGAUGUGAAAAUUGCACAAUAGCAAGUGACUUUAUUAACCCAAUAUUAUAGUAUUAAGAAGGAGAAUUUAAGCAUAACAUAACCUUUUAUAAAAUUGUUUCCAUUUAAUAAAAUUUUUUUAUUUUGAAUUUGUCAAUCCAUAGGACGGAUUAAGUCUAGAGUUGACCGAAAUUAUCACAUUCAAGCGGAGUACUUACGAGCUAAUAAAAGGUUAAGCAAUAAAUACUGCAUUCUUAAUUACAGGUUAAGUCCUUAAUCAGGCCUAAUAAUGAAAGGUCUACAAUAAUUAUAUAAAUAAACACAGAUAUCAAAUAAUCAUGUAUAUAUGCAAUCAUCUGGUACUAAAUACUGAAUGUCGUGAGUGUCGAAUGC
rnacentral:lncRNA from 1 species